AUUUCUUGUUCCUAAUUAUGUAUACUUAUAUUUUCGCUUUACAAAAAAUAAGUAAACCAACUUGCUGAAAGUAUGUAUGCUUCAUAUUUUGAAUAAAAUUUGGAUUAUUUGUCAGAACUAUUUUGUUUCUUUCAUUAUUCAUUCAUUAAAAAAAAUCUUUAGGACUUUGUUUUUCCUCUCUUGUUUUCCCUGUAUUUCUAUUUCUUAGCUUUUUGUUUUUCUAUAUUAUGAAUUGAAUAUUUGAUUUAUAUUCAUGCUUUCUUUUUUAAACAGUGAAGACUUGAAGCUCAGUACAUGCUUUGAGCUCACAAUGGCUGUCUCCAUUUGUAUCAUGGAUCUGUGGCUUUCUAAGGAAUGUAGACUGCAAUUAAUGUUGCAGGGAAUUCAUUCUCUUUUUCAAGACCGUCUUCUCAAAGGUACUGAUAUGCAAUUCUGUAUGGGCCAUGUUCCUUCUCAUCCUGAUAUACACUCAUUUUUCUAAGAUUUCAUUGUAAUUCUGGGUUUGGUAUGCUAUUUUUUUUUUUUCAUCUCGGUUCUUAUGUUGUCUUCUUUCUUCUGUUCCUUGUUUUAAUUUUGCUAAACAAUAUAUUUUAAUAAUUAUUUGGGGAAAGUCUGUGAAUUUUCUGAGUCCUCGAAAGUUUGAAAAUGUUACUAUUUUACUAGUGUAUUUGGGUAGCAGCCUGGCUAGUCUCAAAAUUAUUUAUUUUUAUUGGCUGAAAAUUCUUUUUUUAACCUCAAAACUUUGAUAGUAUUUUCCCAGUUUCUUCCAGUACCCAGUAUUAUUGACGAGAAGUUUUAUGCUAUCCUGAGCCUCAGCACCUUGAAAAUCAUCCACGUUUUUUCAUUCUGAAAUCUUGUCUAAUUUUUCUUUUUGUUAUUGGGGGUUCAGAAAUUUCUAGAGGCUCUGCAUAAGAAAAGUGCAUUGAAAAAAUUUAAAACAAUUUAUACACUUUACUUUUUAGAAUACUUUUAGAUUUAUGGAAAAAUUGAGCACAUAGUACAGAGAGUUCCCAUAUACACCCACCCCAUAUACUCUAUUUCUUCUAUUAGAAACAUGUUAUGUUACUGUGUUAUAUUUGUUAUGUUUAAUGAAUCAAUACUGGUACAUUAUUAUUAACUAAAGCUCAUAGUUUAUUUGUCUCUCAUUUCUUAUUAACUGAUUUUUUUUUUCUGCCUCAAGAUCUCAUCGAGGUUAUCACGUUUAGUUGUCAUGUCUUAGACUCCUCUUGGCUGUGAAUUUCUCAAACGUUCUUUGUUUUUGAUGACCAUGGCAGUUUUUCAGAGUACUGGUCAGGUAUAUUGUAGCAUGCUCAUUUAUUGGAUUAAAAAAAUGUCCUCAUGAAUAGACUGGGGUUAUAAGAUUUGGGGAGGAAAAUCACAGAAGUAAAGUGCCAUUUUCUUCACAUCAUAUCAAAUAUACAUAGUGUCAACAUGAUUUAUGACUGCUGACCUGGAUUUUUAUAAUCUGACUGAAACAGUGUUUUUUCAGGUUUCUUUACUUUAAAGUUAUUAUUUUCUCCAUUUUUUUGCACUACAUUCUUUGUAAGGAGGACAGCCUAUCCCUAAGGGAUGCAGAAUUUUGCUCCCCCUCGUUUAGGGUAGAGUAACUACAUAGAUUUAUUUGGAAUUUUUCUGCAAGGGAAUUUUGUCUCUUGUCCUCAUUUAUUAACUUAUUUAAUCAUAUAUACAUAUAUUAGUAUAGCCUCAUAAUUUUUUAAUAUUUUGGGUUAUAAUCCAAUGCUACUUUAUUUUGUUGUUCAAAUUGCUCCAGCUUUGGCCAUUGGAAAAGCUUUCAAUUGGCUUCUGUGCCUGUUUGACAUACCCCAUCAAUGUAGUUUGCUUUUUUAUUUUUCCUGAGUACUUUGUUACUUUCUGUCACCACUAGAACUCACUUUGUAUACUUCCUGCUACAGUCCUAGAAUCAGCAAUUUCUCUGGGAACCUAAACCAAUUCAACCAUUGUGGAAGACAGUGUGGCGAUUCCUCAAGGAUCUAGAACUAGAAAUUCCAUUUGACCCAGCCAUCCCAUUACUGGGUAUAUGCCCAAAGGAUUAUAAAUCAUGCUGCUAUAAAGACACAUGCACACGUAUGUUUAUUGUGGCACUAUUCACGAUAGCAAAGACUUGGAACCAACCCAAAUGUCCAUCAAUGAUAGACUGGAUUAAGAAAAUGUGGCACAUAUACACCAUGGAAUACUAUGCAGCCAUAGAAAGGAUGAGUUCACGUCCUUUGCAGGGACAUGGAUGAAGCUGGAAACCAUCAUUCUGAGCAAACUAUUGUAAGGACAGAAAACCAAACACUUGCAUGUUCUCACUCAUAGGUGGGAAUUGAACAAUGAGAACAUGUGGACACAGGGUGGGGAACAUCACACACCGGGGCCUGUUGUGGGGUUGGGGGAGUGGGGAGGGAUAGCAUUAGGAGAUAUACCUAAUGUAAAUGACGAGUUAACAGGUGCAGCACACCAACACUGCACAUGUAUAUGUAUGUAACAAACCUGCAAGUUGUGCACAUGUACCCUAGAACUUAAAGUACAGUAAAAUAAUAAUAAAAGGAAACCAUGGUUCCUUUUAUUGAAAAUGGCACUAGAACUAAGAUUUGGGUCUUAGCUGUGAUAAUUGAUACUGAGUGUCAUUGCUUCUAGGGCUUCUCUGCUGACAGACUAUAGAAAUACAUGUGUGCAUACUGACAUGUGUAUACGCUCAUAUAUAUAUAUUUCUAUAUGUAGCCAUCUAUAUUUAUACAAAUAAAAGCAGAGUUUUUAUUGAUGGCUACAAUUCUAGUACAUUGCCACCUGAAUCAUCAUAGCCUCCUUCCCUUACUAUCUUUGAAUCCUCGCUCCAGCAGCAAGAAUGCCGGAUGCCACCAGCUACUAUCCAUUUACCUAAUUGUUCAAUUCCAAUUACAUGUAUAGCAAUAUCAGAAUUAUUGACCUAUACAUCUGUGGUAUACCUUUUCCCCUACCUGCUUUGGUGAGGUUAUUUUCUACACUUGUAAUAGAUUCAUUUGUUGCAUUCUGCAUUUCUUCUUGAAUUAUUCUUACUGAAAGAGGAUGUUGAAGACCCCAAACGUGAUAGUGGAUUUGUUUUUUUUCUCCUUGCAACUCUAUCAGUUUUUGCUUAUGUAUUUUGAUAGUCAGUUGUUGGUGUAUGCACAUUAAAGAUUAUUAUGUCUUUCUGGAAAUUUUUCCUUGUUUUGAAGUCUAUUCUCUCU
rnacentral:lncRNA from 1 species